rnacentral:sRNA from 1 species
GGUUGCGUUUUGCAUCACUACGCCAUCUGUCGUUUCUCAACGUGACGGCAAAGGGCUGUCCAUUGUACAGGCUGCUCAUGUAGGUACGGUACAAUAGCUAUGCACUCCCUAUUGACUGCAUAAGACUACUCAAAUGCGAGCGGGGACAACGUGGUGCUGUUGACUGCGGAAGUGCUCCUAGGGAUCCAUGUGGUUUAUAUACAACAUUUCUACCGGCUGGAUUCUCCUGUCUCAUGGAUAGUGUAUCAUCUUGCUUUUUAUCCAUGGCUGACCGGAUGAGCCGUUACUGCUAUUUCCUUUGAUAGAAAUAAUCAAAAGAGGGGGAAAGAAAGAAAGAAACGAAAAUAACAAGGACCAUACCCUUACCAGCUUCACUACGACUUGUGUGAUAUUCGCUGAAGUCUUCUGAUGGCAUCUUCUCCUUGAAGGGGAUGCAUUUUCACUCUCUGUUUACGUUCUAUCAUUUUGCUUAACCGUUGGCUUUAAAUCAUUGACUCUUGUUAAACAUCUUUAUCAAGAGGAUCCAAGGGGAAACAAAGAUCGAUAUCUUGGUCAUUGAGCCGCUACAUGUAGCUCAUAGACCGGCUUCUUUUUCACAGUUGUAUUAUUAUCUGGGCCUUUCUUCU